rnacentral:rRNA from 1 species
AGGGAUCAUUACAGAGUUGCAAAACUCCCACAAACCAUCGCGAAUCUUACCCGUACGGUUGCCUCGGCGCUGGCGGUCCUUCGGGACCCUCGGGUCUCCCGCUCGCGGGAGGCUGCCCGCCGGAGUGCCGAAACCAAACUCUUGAUAUUUUAUGUCUCUCUGAGUAAACUUUUAAAUAAGUCAAAACUUUCAACAACGGAUCUCUUGGUUCUGGCAUCGAUGAAGAACGCAGCGAAAUGCGAUAAGUAAUGUGAAUUGCAGAAUUCAGUGAAUCAUCGAAUCUUUGAACGCACAUUGCGCUCGCCAGUAUUCUGGCGAGCAUGCCUGUUCGAGCGUCAUUUCAACCAUCAAGCUCUGCUUGCGUUGGGGAUCCGCGGCUGCCCGCGGUCCCUCAAAAACAGUGGCGGGCUCGCUAGUCACACCGAGCGUAGUAACUCUACAUCGCUAUGGUCGUGCGGCGGGUUCUUGCCGUAAAACCCCCCAAUUUCUAAGGUUGACCUCGGAUCAGGUAGGAAUACCCGCUGAACUUAA